GACGAACGCUGGCGGCGUGCUUAACACAUGCAAGUCGAACGGAAAGGCCCUGCUUGCAGGGUACUCGAGUGGCGAACGGGUGUGUAACACGUGGGUGAUCUGCCCUGCACUUCGGGAUAAGCCUGGGAAACUGGGUCUAAUACCGGAUAGGAGCCACUUUUAGUGUGAUGGUUGGAAGGAUUUUUCGGUGUAGGAUGAGCUCGCGGCCUAUCAGCUAGUUGGUGGGGUCAUGGACUACCAAGGCGGCGGCGGGUAGGCGGCCUGAGAGGGUGGACGGCCACACUGGGACUGAGAGACGGCCCAGCCUCCUACGGGAGGCAGCAGUGGGGAAUGUUGCACAAUGGGCGCGAGCCUGAUGCAGCGACGCCGCGUGGGGGAUGACGGCCUGCGGGUGGGAAGCUCCUUUCUCUAGGGACGAAGCUUUUUGUGACGGUACCUAGAGAAGAAGCACCGGCUAACUACGUG
rnacentral:rRNA from 1 species